UCUUUGCUUAGUUUGCUAAAUAAAUAAAUAAAUAAAGUUUUCUAUGAACCCUCAUGAUAAGCUCUCACAUGGAAAUGAUGAAUAGUUGCUCUGCCAUGACUAGUUCUCAAAAUUGAAAUUUCUUUCAAGUUUAGGCAUGACUGUUAUUAAUUAUGAUUUGCUCUAAACCUAAACUUGUGGAAAGAGUACUUGAUCUAAAGUCUAAGUUGUUAACAGAUAUGAUAUGGGAAGGUUGAGCUGCUGUUUAUCUGUUCCUAGAGAUGCUAGAAUUCUGGAGAAAUUUAUCUUUGAAAAAUCUUUAAAAUGCGGCAUGAUGAGUUCCUGUAUGAUGAGAGUUUAAAUUCCUACCACAGCCAUAUAUACAUGCUUGCUAGACUAUGAACCACACAUUUACUUUACUACUUAUGAGCAUUGAGUGUGGUCAAGCUGUGUAGACCCUUAGGAGCUUGUCAUGUGGUUAAAUCAAGAUUCACUUGCACGUUCACUCACACAUGCUACUUCUACUCCGGAAGUACCAUCCAUAUAUAUCCAUUUCCAUCUUCAGAACCACCCAAAAAUAUCCUACUCCUAAUCCGGGAGAGAAUAGCCAAAAAUAUUUCUAUUUUUCCCUAUGAAAUAAAUGCUCAAGUUAUCUUGUUACUACCACUUGCUAUAUUAUCUCAUGAGAUGAGUGCUCUAAUAAAAAAAAGAAGGAAAAAAAAUACGAGGAAAUAAAAAGGGGCAAGUGCCCGGAAGCUCGAAAAAAAAAGUGAGACGAGAGGUAAAAAUGGACAAGUGUCCGACAGUAGAAUUAGGGGUACAAGAUAUCCACCUGAGAGAAGAAAAAGAAAAAAAAUAUAUAUAGAGCAUCUCAUUCUCCUCAAAAAGUUUCAAAAGAGCAAGAAAGGUAUGUAUCCCCUCAAAAGAGCACAAGUAGAAUUAGACUUUCACCAUUGUUAUCACCAUCAUUACCAUGCACCAUUCAUUCGCCACACAUGCACAUCUUGAUUUGACUUAUUGACUUGUUCUUCUGGAUCCAUGGUUUGACUAUGCAAUAAAUGUCUUGUAAGUAUGUAUUAGCUGUCUCCCACCUAUGAGCUCCAGAUAUCAAAACCUUAUAAGAGUAGGGUGAGAGAGAAGGCAAUGCACUAUGCCUUAUACCACGAAUACCACAUACUUUGAGAGAAGGCAUAUACCAAUACUACCUUGGUAAGGAUCCAGAAAUACCACAAAAGAAAGACUAGAGAGAGUCAUACAAGGAAUCUCUGAGUUUCAUUUGAAAAUCUGCAAAAAUUCCAGAGCUAUAGUUAAUCGAAGAACAAGAGACCUGGUGCUUAACUAGACUGUUCUAUCUUUUAACUACUCAAGACAGAAGUGACGGUUACAAGUCCCAUGGUGAAAGGUAAAUGAGUAAGUUUUAAGUCUUAACAGUUUACUCUAACCAGAGAUGAGAUCUUGUUUUGCAAAAUUCAAGCUUGGGGGAAAUACCUUACAUAAGAACAUCCUUUGCCAUGUUGCUAUGUUGGUUGUCCCUACUUUUGAGGCAUGCUCAAUUUUUCUAAACACUAAACUUAUUUUUCAUCUCCACCUAAGUAGAUCUCUAUAAAUGCUGUCAUGCUACCUUUAUCUAUCACAAGCAAGUGUUGGUUUGGAAGUACUCGACAUACUUCCAUUGGCAUUUAAAUUAAGCGUGGUGCUUAGGUUAAAUAGCCUUCCUUAUUCUAAUUAGACAUGGAGUCUAGUUUGGUUACUGAACUAAAAACUGCUUGAGUAGACAUUGGUAUAUUUUGUCGGACUAACCCCUGCAGGAAAACUUUCAAUAUCAACCGGGGAACUCCUGAGAUACGAACUCACAUUGGAGACAAAGGAGACACAUGAAGUUUAACGAUUUGCACAAGGAAGGCAUAACUCAUUCAUCAUAGAGAGAUGAUCCAUGGAACGAGACAAAGAGUGCCACAAACACGGUGCACAACCGCUAAGAAAGGAAAGCUUCCACAAGGUGAUACUGUACCAUCACUCUUCAAGUAAGGUAACAUCUUAAGGUACUUGACUAUCACUUUUAUAAGCUUAUCCUUGGUUCUGGCGUUCACAUGAAUAAAGAGACAAAGGUAAAUUAACCAACCCAAUCAAUUCAACAUGUUUAGUCCUUUAAUCUUUGUUCUUAGUACUACCUUCGUGAUCCCACACUCCUAAUCAUAUAAGCUAAAAUGUUGCACAUUCAAUCUCAGGAAGAUAUAAAAAAUAUAAAUAUAGAUAGAUUAUCUUUCCAUUAGGUCGAGCGAUCUGAUCUGACAAAUGUUUUACUUCUACACUCAUGAUCUUAUUAUCCAUCAACUUUAUCUUGCUCACUAUGCUUAAGAUUAGAGAAGAACAAAUACACUUUUGGUUUUGUUGGUGUUUUUCACCAAUAGGGCCCAUGCACUUGAUCUCUACCUUGUCUCUAUGACCAGGUACACUUCGAGCAAAACCAGAAGGAGUUUUACAACUCCGAGAUUCCACCAAGUGAAGUACUUGGAUCUACGAGCACAAACACACUGAGCAGGAUGCUGCCAAUGUCGCACCUCGAACUGUUAGACAAAUGAAGAACAUGGGUGACACCGUAUCAAGAGGUGCAGAUGUCAAGGCCCACACCUAAUCAAAUGAUGCACCUAAAGGAUGAACAAGGUGAGAAGUCUUGUCUAGAAGACUUAAAACAUUGGAUCCUUGCCGGAAGGUAAAAAUCGGUAUUUAUCCAUAUUUAUCAUUUGUGCAGUCCUUUUCCUUUUUAUUCCAUCACUUGCAUUAGCAUAUUUACUUUUCCACAUUAGCAUUAGAAAAGAAAACAAAAAUAUUUGUUGGUUGCACUGCAUUAUAAAAUCUAAAGCCCCAUGUGAGUAGACUUGUGGUUUAAAACCCAUAGGUAUAUUGGCUGUGGUGGCAUAAAAUAAAUUUGUUUUCAUCUUACAAUUAAAAUAUAAAAAUAAUAAGUGCAUGAUCCCGCUAAAUAAAAUUUAUUAGGAGGAAUCUCAGUAUGAUAAAGGCUAAGAGAUUUUAUGCUAAAACUUAACCAGUUCUACAAAGCUUUGUUGUCUAUUUGAGCUCCACAGAAUUCAAGGAUCAAAGAAGACUAGGCGGUGGAGGACAUAGUAAUCGCUGUCAGGGUGCUGCACACAUUCAAAUACACCUCCGUCACCUGCUAGCUACAUCAGAAGAAAUUACGUCAAAAUCCAGCUUGGGGGAGAGCACCCCCAUUUAUCCAGCUAAGUGUUUCUACUCGCGUUUAUACUUUACUCAAAUAAUAAAAAGAUGCAUAAUCAUGAAAACCCAAAUAAAAAAAAUUUUGUGCUUAUAUAUAUCUUUGCUUAGUUUGCUAAAUAAAUAAAUAAAGUGUCUAGGCCAAACUGAACUUAAAUGAUAAACUCUUACAUGGAUAUGAUAAAUAGUUGCUCUGCCAUGUACCUAGUUUUCAAGUUUGAGCUCUCUCUCAAGUUUAGGCAUAACUGUUAUAAUUUAAACCUGCACUAAACCUGAACUUGUGGGAAGAGUACUUGAUCUAAAGUCUAAGUUGUUAACGGAUAUGAUAUGGUAAGGUUGAGCUGUUGUUUAUCUGUUCCUAGAGUUGCUAGAAUUCUGGAGAAUUUUAUCUUUGAAAAUCAUUAAAAUGUUGCAUGAUGAGUUCCUGUAUGAUGAGAGUUUAAAAUCCUACCACAGCCAUAUAUACAUGCUUAUUAGACUAUGAACCAUAUAUUUACUUUUUACUGCUUAUGAGCAUUGAGUGUGGUCAAGCUGUGUAGAUCCUUAGGAGCUUGUCAUGCGGUUAAAAUCAAGAUCCACUUGCACGUUCACUCACACAUGGUACUUCUACUCUGGAAGUACGCAUCCACAUAUAUCCACUCAAUUCCAUCUCCAGAUUCACCUAAAAUUAUUCUACUCCUAUCCGGGAGAGAAUAGCCAAAAACUUUUUCCUAUCCCUGUUAUUCCCUGUGAAAUAAAUGCUCGAGAUAUUUUGGCUACUACCACUUGCUACAUUAUUCUAGGAGGGUGAGUGCUCUGAAAAAAAAGAAAAGGAAAAUACGAGGAAAUAAAAAGGGGCAAGUGCCUGGAACCUCGAAGAAAAGAAAAAGUGAGACGAGAGGUAAAAAUGGACAAGUGUCCGGCAGUAGAAUUAGGGGUACAAGAUACCCACCUGAGAGAAAAGAAAAAGAAAAUAUAGAUCAUCUCAUUCUCCUCAAAAAAGCUUCAAAGUGCAAGAAAGGUAUGUAUCCCUAAAAAGAGCAAAAGUAGAAUUAGACUUUCACCAUUGUUAUGACCAUCAUCACCAUACACCAUUCACUCGCCACACAUGCAUAUCUUGAUUUGACUUAUUGACUUGUUUCUCUGGAUCCAUGGUUUGACUAUGCAAUAAAUGUCUUGUAAGUAUGUAUGCUUUAUCUCCCACCUAUGAGCUCCAGAUAUCAAAACCUUAUUAGAGUAGGGUGAGAGAGAAGGCAAUAUCACUAUGCCUCAUACCAAAAAUAACACAUACUUUGAGAGAAGGCAUAUACCAUUACUGACUUGGAAAGGAUCCAGAAAUACCACAAAAGAGAGAUUUGAGAGAGUCAUACAAGGAAUCUCUGAGUUUUAUUUGAAAAUCUGCAAAAAUUCCGGAGCUAUAGCUGAUCAAGAAUAAGAGACAUGGCGCUUGACUUGACCGUUCUAUCUUUUUAACUGCUCAAGACACAAGUGACGGUUGCAAGCCCCAUGGUGAUAGGUAAAAUGAGUAAGUUUUAAGUCUUAACAGUUUACUCUAACUCAGAGAUGAGAUCUUGCUUGAACGCAUGUGCACUUUUACGGCAUGAAACCACUGCAGGAACUCUGGAGUCCAUCCUUGCUCAGGGACGAGCAAGAGGUAAGCUUGGGGGAGAUGUUGACAGUCCUGAAGUACCAAAUAUAAUCAUCAAAUAAAUAAAGAAAAGGAUCCAAAUGCAACCAAAACCCAGACUUAGGGUUUUAUCUGACAGAAUUCCACGAGUUUUGGUGUUUGUCUAUUUCUGUUGGGGGUUAUCAGGAAAUAUAGAGGAAAGGCCCACAUGUCGGGUUUACAUAGAGAUAUUAACGUGCCGCGCAAUUUUCUAUCAUCUAGAAGACUCCAGAAGCCACGGGAACGAACGGGAGGCCGAGCGGGCUCGGGGGCAGGGCGCCCGCCCUCCCCCCUUGGGCGCCCGCCCAGGUGUCUCAGCCAAUCAGGCUCCACCUCGCGGAUUUUGCUCCACUGACCUAAAGGAUUAAGGAAAACCGUGCGAUUAAGGUCGGUUUGAUCCGACGGCCCACGUUCAUUUGGAAGGGCUAUAUAAGCAGGCGCCCUAGCCCCUGG
rnacentral:lncRNA from 1 species